rnacentral:rRNA from 1 species
UACGUAGGGUGCGAGCGUUGUCCGGAGUUAUUGGGCGUAAAGAGCUUGUAGGUGGUUUGUCGCGUCUGCUGUGAAAAAUCCGAGGCUCAACCUCGGGCCUGCAGUGGGUACGGGCAGACGUAGAGUGCGGUAGGGGAGAUUGGAAUUGCCUGGUGGUAAGCGGUGGAAUGCGCAGAUAUCAGGAGGAACACCAAUGGCGAAGGG